AGCUCCAAUAGCGUAUAUUAAAAUUGUUGCGGUUAAAACGCUCGUAGUUGGAUAUCUGCUAAGGAGCUCCGGUCCUUCCCAGUGAAGAAUACGCGGAGCUUUUCUUGGCAUUUGUUCGGGGAAGGUGUUUGCACUUCAUUGUGCGUCACGUGAUCUGAAUUUUUACUUUGAGGAAAUGAGAGUGUUUCAAGCAGGCUUUUGCCGUGAAUAUGAUAGCAUGGAAUAAUAGCAUAGGACCCCUUUCCAAAGCUGUUGGUUUUUGGAACGAGGUAAUCAGAAUAAGGAUAGUUGGGGGUAUUCGUAUUUAACUGUCAGAGGUGAAAUUCUUGGAUUUUUUAAAGACGAACUAUUGCGAAGGCAUCUGCCCAGGAUGUUUUUG
rnacentral:rRNA from 1 species